rnacentral:rRNA from 1 species
GACAGAGGGUGCAAACGUUGUUCGGAAUUACUGGGCGUAAAGCGCAUGUAGGCGGCCAAGCAGGUCGGAUGUGAAAUCCCUCGGCUCAACCAAGGAAGUGCAUUCGAAACCGCAUGGCUGGAGUCCCGGAGAGGGUAGUGGAAUUCUCGGUGUAGAGGUGAAAUUCGUAGAUAUCAGGAGGAACACCAGUGGCGAAGGCGGCUUCCUGGACACCAACUGACGCUG